AGGACAAGGAGGAGGAGGAGGACAAGGAGGAGGAGGAAGAGGAGGAGGAGGGGGGAAGGCCAGCAGGGGGUUAGAGAGUCUCUUCAGGAGGAGCAACGGCACUGGGGGGAUACUGUCCACAGGACCCCCCUCUCCAUGACCGGUCCCACUGGGUCAUGCCCUCAAGCUUUCUCCACGGACAGGAGGUCGGUCGGCUUUGACGGGCCAGCGCUCUUUGCAGCAUUCCCAUAAUGGUGGGCUACUAUUCACUAUCCCCCACUAUGACUUCUGGGUAAUGGAGUCCUCUUCAGGCUCCUGGCUCUCAUGGUAGUGGAUUUAUGGGACGGAAAACGUAUCGCCCGUCACUUCAGUUGUGGUCAUUUUCCAGAACACGAGUACAUUUCUUUCUGGCGAUAAUAAACUUCUUACCCUAAAGAAAAAGGGAAAAUAUCCAAGAGCAUUUGUUGCUAAUCCAAGAGAAGUAUAGUUUUGUAUUCUGGAAUAUCUGUUCCUCAAAGACCAGUCAUGGAUUUUUUGAUAUAUGUUUCCUGGUUCCUGUUUUUCGGAGGUCAGGUGACCUGGAUGGAACUCUGUGGUCUGUUUUGGAAGGGGGGGCGGUUGACAGGAAGUCAUACACUUACUUCCUCCUUCCUUUCCUCAUGGAUUCCCUCGGACAAGUACACACAGUUCACAGCUGUACCGAACGUCAAGACAAAGGAUUGACUAUUGGUUUUGUGUUCUUUAUAUUUUUUUAUUUUUGAGAACUUUUAUUCUAUUUGUGUGUUCCGGCGUCUGCUUGUGUGCGUGUUUGUGAAUGUUUCAAGGAACACACAAACUCUGUCGUUGUGUCUUUGGACUCAAUGGAUUCGCAGUUGUGAAUCUGAAUGUUCGGCUUGUUAAUAUCUAAUUCAUGGAAUUCGUUUAUUAUUCAUUUGAGAGCAACAAAAUAGGAUUUAACGAUACAGUUUAUGCAACAACAACAAAAAGCAUUUGAGAAUCAAAAGUGUUACAAGAGUUGAUAUUGUAAAAAGAAAUUGUACAUAUCUUGUAUUCUAUUUUAUUUUUAUUUAUUGUUAAUUAUUUUUCCCGAAGUGUGCAAAAGGAAAAAAGUCGUAAGAUUGGUUUUAUUCCUACGUUCCAACGAUUCUGUUUGCAAUUAACUCUCAGUCUCGGGGAAGGUGUUGUUUUAUAAGGGAGUGUUUUUAAAGAACGUCCGCCAUCGCCAACAGCCUAUAAAGUUUAUGGUUACGACUGUGCUGCGCCCCCUUAAUUCCUGCUGUUUCGCCGCGCUAGGCUACUGUUUAGCACUGUUCAUAAAACACAACGUUGUUGAUGGGUUAUACCUCGGUUAGAAAUUGUAACCGGCUGCCGAGCGAGUCCUCUGGCACAUGGUCAGGAGUAGUUACUGCCUUCCGAAGUGGCUGCAUAGCGAGAAGUUUAAAGGUGACAUGUUGAUCCACCAGGUGUGAGGGUUUACACAAGCCCUGUAAAUCUGCCUCUUUUGACAUCACAAGUGGGCGUGUCCACCUAGAUCUGUGCUGGAUAGAUGAGCAACGUUUGCUAGAGUCCACUGGGAAGGCUGGCGGACUGAUCUAUCCAGCACAGAUCUAGGUGGACACGCCCACUUGUGAUGUCAGAAAAGGCCGAUUUUCAAAACGGCCUGUAAGGGCUUAUCACACUCACCCCAGGGCGCUGAUAAUGGCGCACUACGACGUCACUCCCUGUCUGUUUGUAAACACUGCUCACUGUGAGAGAGAGCCCUAGUGGAUGAGAUAUAUCUGCUAGCAACACUGUGGUCCUAACCUAUCCCUGAGCCAAACCCUCUUGUUAAUCAACAACAGAAAUCGGUUCAGAUUGUCUGAGCAUCCUUUAACCACUAUACCAGUGACUUCCAACCGGUACUGUUUAGUCUUUUAGCAGACCCUUAAAUCCAAAGCGACUUUCAGUGAAUUCCGUAUACAAGUCAAUCAGCAGCAGGCAUAAGGGUUAAGGUUAACUUAAGGUUUAUCUCAAGGAUGCCUACAGAAAGGGUCCCAAAUACCCGAAUAGAAUUGUGUCUUUUUGCUGGACAAAGUGGAAGAAUCGAUCAAUUGUUUUCAUAUUUAUCCCUGAAAUCGAUCAGCCAUAGGCUGGAGGCAGGCGUUUAUUGUGGACCCUGCCUUGAGCUGGAGAGCGGACAUUGUGGGUUUGACCCCAGAACUGCCUAACCACUGACUAGACUAUGAGACCGUUACUGUAUUGGUACCAGGAUGCCUGCAGCGUCUAUACACCUUGUGAUGGCUCCUCAGUGCUUUGUCGUGACAAUCCGCCCCUAAACCUUAUCCUGCUUAUGUGUGUGGGGACAUUAAGAAUAGAAAAUAAUAGAUUUCAGUGAGUCCGUUAUCCGAUGGAUUUGUGUUUUUCCUUCAUUGUGGUUGCUUGUUAUCAGGCGGUGAUCAAUUGGUUUAUAGAAAUUGACUAUUUUUUUUUUUCGAAAGAGUUACUGGCUGAAAA